CCCUUAGAUGUUCUGGGCGGCCCGCGCACUACAUUGGCACUCUCAAUAAGUUCCUAGAUCUAAAACUUUGGGGUAUUCUAUUAAGUGGUGUCGUGACUGGGAUUAACCCUUGCAAUUAUUGGUUACGAACGAGGAAUUCCUUGUAAUCGCGGUUUAUCAGCCCGCGUUGAAUGCGUCCCUGCCCUUUGUACACACCGCCCGUCGCUCCUACCGAUGAAUCGUCCGGUGAAGCCUCGGGAUUGUGGUUCUUGCCGCUUUAUUGUGGCGUGACCGCGAGAACUUGUCUAAACCUUAUCAUCUAGAGGAAGGUGAAGUCGUAACA
rnacentral:rRNA from 1 species